rnacentral:miRNA from 1 species
AUAUAUAUAUAUACACACACACACAGUUACGUGUGUGUGUAUAUGUGUAUAU